rnacentral:rRNA from 1 species
UACGUAGGGGGCAAGCGUUGUCCGGAAUUAUUGGGCGUAAAGAGCGCGUAGGCGGUCCGAUAAGUCGGCUGUGAAAGUCAGGGGCUCAACCCUUGGAAGCCGGCCGAUACUGUCGGACUAGAGUCCGGAAGAGGCGAGUGGAAUUCCCGGUGUAGCGGUGAAAUGCGCAGAUAUCGGGAGGAACACCAAUAGCGAAGGCAGCUCGCUGGGACGGUACUGACGCUAAGGCGCGAAAGCGUGGGGAGCGAACAGG